AUACGUAGGUGGCAAGCGUUGUCCGGAUUUACUGGGUGUAAAGGGCGUGUAGGCGGAGAUGCAAGUCAGGAGUGAAAUCUAGGGGCUCAACCCCUAAACUGCUUUUGAAACUGUAUCCCUUGAGUAUCGGAGAGGCAGGCGGAAUUCCUAGUGUAGCGGUGAAAUGCGUAGAUAUUAGGAGGAACACCAGUGGCGAAGGCGGCCUGCUGGACGACAACUGACGCUGAGGCGCGAAAGCGGGGGGAGCAAACAGGAUUAGAGACCCUGUUAGUCCACGCCGGAAACGAUGGGCGCUCGUCGUCGGCGGCAGACAGUCGGCGGCCAAGCGAAAGCGAUAAGCGCCCCACCUGGGGAGUACGGUCGCAAGGCUGAAACUCAAAUGAAUUGACGGGG
rnacentral:rRNA from 1 species